GGAUAUGUAGAUGAUAUAAAAUAUUGGGAAUCCUCCAUUUACCCGCCAAUUGUCCUUCUCUCUUCCACAUUAUCCAUUAAUCCCCAAUUCCUUCUAAAACCUCUCACACACCAACCGAACCUCCGAUUUCUCCCAGAAUUUCAGCCGCUGAUCAAAUGUGGAGCAAUGGUUAGUCUUCCUGUGAACCAAAGUCGUUCAAAGAUGCAUCAGUUUCAAGCCUUACCUGCUCAUAUUCAUGGAGAUAUGGUUGUACUGUUUCCUUCCAGAAAAUGCUGGCAGCAACAGAAACAACACCAUUUUCAGAGACCGGCAUUGUCUUCUUCUUCUUCUUCCUCGCCGGUGUCUGGCCGUCAGUCCAGAAGGUAUUAUUUGGGCAGAUUCAAAAGACGCUUCCGUUCUGAACCUAAUCUAAAACCACUCACUUCCCGUAUUGUUGAUCUCACUCGCAGAAGGCAACUUCAUCAGGUCUCUCUCGAAUUAGAACAUAGGGUUAUUUUUCCUCAAUUUACGCUCUUACUG
rnacentral:lncRNA from 1 species